rnacentral:rRNA from 1 species
CAUGUAGGUGGCUUGAAAAGUUGGACGUGAAAGCUCCCGGCUUAACUGGGAGAGGUCGUACAAAACUAGCAAGCUUGAGGUUGGAAGAGGAGAGCGGAAUUCCCGGUGUAGUGGUGGAAUGCGUAGAUAUCGGGAGGAACACCAGUGGCGAAAGCGGCUCUCUGGUUCAAAACUGACACUGAGAUGCGAAAGCGUGGGGAGCGAACGGGAUUAGAUACCCCGGUAGUCCACGCUGUAAACGAUGGAUACUAGGUGUAGGCGGUCAUUAACCCCGUCUGUGCCGAAGCUAACGCGUUAAGUAUCCCGCCUGGGGACUACGGCCGCAAGGUUAAA